UUUGUAAUGGUCAUGGGAGCUAAUAACUGAUUGUGUUUUUUCAGUGCUGAUGGGGAUCGCAUUCAUGCAUCUUGGCCAGACUCUUCCAAAGUACCUGGUAAGCCAUGAAAAUACUGUGGUGAAGUUAUAGAGUCAGAAGUUACUUUACAGACAUUUAUUUAGUUUCAGGGUUGGAUUCCUCAUGUUCUCAAAGCAACACUGCUUCCUCGGAAGGCCACCAGUGUGCCUGUGAAGGAAAGGACCUGCUGAGUACAGUGAGUGAACUGAAGCAGGCUCAGCACAAGCUGACUGAGCAGAACAGCAGCCUACUGAGGACAGUGAACCACUGUGAAGAUGUAAAUCUACAACUCACUUUGGAGAUCACGGAUCUGAGAACUAAGCUGGCUAGUGCACAACGGGCAACAGCGAGAACCAGAUCCUUAACAGAAGAACUGGAGGAGGCUCGACGGGUGUGUAAGGAGGCCCAGGAGAGAGCUAGUCGCAGCCAAACAAGCUGCACCAAACUGAGCAGUGAGGUUGAGCGCUUGAAGGGUCACAUCAGGAGGCUAGAAGACAAAAAUGAAAAACUCACCUUUGAAAGAACAUGUGCUGAAGAUGGCAUCAAUAAACUGAGAAAGGCUAACAUGGAACUCAGGGCUGAACUUGAGGAAACCCUCGUUAUGUUGACUCAGAGGGACAAAGAAUCCACAA